rnacentral:rRNA from 1 species
UACAGAGGUGGCAAGCGUUGUUCGGAAUUACUGGGCGUAAAGGGCGCGUAGGCGGUCUUGUAAGUCUCGUGUGAAAUCCCUCGGCUUAACUGAGGAACUGCACGGGAUACUGCAUGACUUGAGAUCGGGAGAGGGAAGCGGAAUUCCGGGUGUAGCGGUGAAAUGCGUAGAUAUCUGGAGGAACACCGGUGGCGAAGGCGGCAUCCUGGACCGGUAUUGACGCUGAGGCGCGAAAGCCAGGGGAGCAAACGGG